CUACACCAGUAGGCUGGCUGAUCUGGCUAGGUGGUGUGGUAAAGACCUUGUAGGCACGGUCCACUGCAUUCGUAGGCGGGGCUGGAGGACUGGGUGUGUCGGGUAUGCUGGGGAUCUGGUAGAGGUUCCCCGGCCUAUCAGAGUCACUGUCAUGGACUGCUGCCUGGGUCACACUACCAGCACCAGGACCUCGCCCUGUGGUGGAGAGAAGAGAAGUAAGGAGGGAGAGGAGAGGAGAUGAGAACUUAAAUAGUUACAGGGAAAUGUAUCUUAUACUUCCAAAACACACACACCAGACACACACAGACACCACACUAGGGUUGAAUGGCGGAACCCGGUUACCGAGAUUACCGCCCAAAACCACUCGCUUAUCCUGGGAUAACUAAUGCUGAGAAACUGCGUAAAUACUUAUAUGAACAGUGUGGGUGAAAGUAACUGUUAAAUUAUAUGCGACCUCUGCAUGCAUGAAUCAUCACCGUUCAGGGUGAGUACAGACAGCCCAUCUCAGGGUGGGGACAGACCAUCUCAGGGUGAGUACAGACAGACCAUCUCAAGGUGGGGACAGACCAUCUCAGGGUGAGUACAGAAGACCACUCAGGGUGGGAUAGACCAUCUCAGGGUGAGUACAGACAGCCCAUCUCAGGAUGGGGACAGACCAUCUCAGGGAGAGUUAAGACAGACCAUCUCCAGGGUGGGGACAGACCAUCUCAGGGUGAGGACAGACAGCCCAUCUCAGGGUGGGGGACAGACCAUUCUCAGGGUGGGGACAGACCAUCUCAGGGUGGGGCACAGACCAUCUCAGGGUGAGGAACAGACAGCCCAUCUCAGGGUGGGGACAGACCAUCUCAGGGUGAAGUAACAGGACCCCAGAACAUCUCAGGGUGGGGACAGACAUCUCAGGGUGGGACAGACCUCUCAGGGUGGGACAGACCAUCUCAGGGUGGGGACAGACCAUCUCAGGGUGAGUACGACAGACCAUCUCAGGGUGGGGACAGACAGGACCAUCUCAGGGUGGGGACGAGACAGCCCAUCUCAGAUGAGUACAGAAGCCCAUCUCAGAUGAGUACAGACAGCCCAUCUCAGGGUGAGUACAGACAGCCCAUCUCAGGGUGGGGACAGACAGACCAUCUCAGGGUGAGUACAGACAGACCAUUCUCAGAGUGGGGACAGCCAUCUCAGGGUGGGGACAGACCUUCUCAGGGUGAGUACAGACAGACCAUCUCAAGGUGAGUACAGACAGACCAUUCGGGUGAGUACAGACAGCCCAUCUCAGGGUGGGAAGACCAUCUCAGGGUGAGUACAGACAGGCCCAUCUCAGGGUGGGGACAGACCAUCUCAGGGUGAGUACAGACAGCCAUCUAGGGUGGGACAGACAGCCCAUCUAGGGUGGGGACAGACCAUUCUAGG
rnacentral:lncRNA from 1 species